rnacentral:lncRNA from 1 species
GUCUUAUGCAGCUCCUGUUACGUUUUUCAGUGCUCUUGUUUGUUGAAUUUGCUGUUGUGAAUGGGGCACAUGUUGGCUUUCAGUAUGGCAGAACUUUUUUCUCUUAUGGUAAAAACGUUUAAACGCGUUCUAAACUCUUGUCGCUGCAGCCAGAGUGCGGGAAGCCUCGAGCUCGCUUCUUCCCGGCGCCGCCCCGGCUUCGAGGGCCGCCGGGGACCUUCUCCAUCGGCAUUGCCGCCGCUGGGAGACGACUCUCAAAAGUUCAGAGUUGGCAGACCGCAGCUCUGGGCCAUCCGGCAAGCCGAAGGUGCCGCUCGAGUUCAAGGACUUCGAGCCGCCACCUGACAAAAACUGCCGGACCAUUCUCUAUUAAAGUUUCUUCUUCAUCCUUCGUAGGAUUGCUGUUGCAUAUAUUGCCCGACACCAAACCGAAGAAGUUGUCGAUCACUUUGGACUUUUCUCAAACAGGGUGUUGUCCGGUGAUUGAAUUUCUCUUCACACAAGGACAGAUUGUGAAGGAGAUUUUGUAAACUAUCAGCAGCAGUAGAGAACGAGGCACAAAGAAUAAAGGAAAUUGAUGGACCCAA